UAAUAAAAGUGUUUUAUGGCACUUUUCAAACAAAUCCAUAUCCACCUUGUGUGCAAUGUUUUUUUUUUUUUUAAAUAAACACUUUAUUUUUUAAUUGCCAAUUUAUCUAAAGAUCAGUAUUAUUAUGAAUUAACUUAAUUCAAAAUA
rnacentral:misc_RNA from 1 species